rnacentral:misc_RNA from 1 species
GGUCACGUGAUUAGCAGUAUGUUUCAACAGCGUACUCGGUGAUGAGGUGUUUGGUGUGGAAUUCUGUAGCAAAGUUUUCAUUGAUACGAUGGUGGACACCGACCGAGAUAAUAACAAUGCCGUUGCAGACAUCCCAAGAAUCCACAGCAGCGGCGGUCAAAUCGCUUCAAGGCGCCAGUUGUUGUCUGGCGAACACUCCCAAACGAUACGUGACGUUCGACAAAACGAUCACGAUCAAGAAUGACAAGGAUCUGGUGGUUAAAAAGCCACUUAAGUUGGAACUCGUCAUCGACAACUGGAAGUCAAACGGCUCGAAAACGUCGACCGAAACGAUUCGGCCCGAUUCUGGGAUUGUUAGACGUUUAGUCGACGAGUUCAACACUUUUGAAAAACCAAUAACCGAUAGUUCCGAAAUCGAAUCUACAUUGAUUGAGGAGGAUAAAGUUAAGGAAGACGUGCCAGUGAAAAUCCCUACAAAUAUCUCGAUCUGCGAAGCUUUGGAUUUGGUCAGCUUUAUCACUGACGACUAAUAACCGGAAAAUGCUGUUUUGUAUCGAAUGUAUAUUUCUGGCAUCGUUAGUCUCGACAAACUAAACGCCUACAAAAAAAGCCAUAGCAGCAAAGUUAGUUGACGGCAAAUCAUCGUUACACAUUCAAUGGAAAAGUUCCGGUAAGGUAACCGAUCUUAUAAAUAUGU